rnacentral:rRNA from 1 species
AUUGAACGCUGGCGGCAGGCUUAACACAUGCAAGUCGAACGGCAGCACGGGUGCUUGCACCUGGUGGCGAGUGGCGAACGGGUGAGUAACAUAUCGGAACGUACCCAGUAAUGGGGGAUAACUAAGCGAAAGCUUAGCUAAUACCGCAUACGCCCUGAGGGGGAAAGCGGGGGACCGAAAGGCCUCGCGUUAUUGGAGCGGCCGAUAUCUGAUUAGCUAGUUGGUGGGGUAAAGGCCCACCAAGGCGACGAUCAGUAGCUGGUCUGAGAGGAUGAUCAGCCACACUGGAACGGAGACACGGUCCAGACUCCUACGGGAGGCAGCAGUGGGGAAUUUUGGACAAUGGGGGCAACCCUGAUCCAGCCAUUCCGCGUGAGUGAAGAAGGCCUUCGGGUUGUAAAGCUCUUUCGGCAGGGAAGAAACGCUCUGGGUUAAUAACCUGGGGUAAUGACGGUACCUGAAGAAGAAGCACCGGCUAACUACGUGCCAGCCGCCGCGGUAAGAC